rnacentral:misc_RNA from 1 species
GACUGGUCCCACCUAUUCCUCCUCUUGGGAGCGGCCUCCUUAGUCGCUGCAGCAGCAAUCUCCUUUCCCUCUUUUGCUGCCUCCUCUUCCUCCUUCUUCUUUUUGGCAAUUGCCCUAAGAGUCUCCUCCUUCUCCCUCUUCAACGCCUCCUCCCUCAUCACAUCUGCAUACGUCCUCACCGAAGGAUCCGGGGUCUUCUCCCCAGCAGCAAAUGCGUCAUGCCUGUCUGGCGAAAUCACCCUAUUUAACCUCCUCCUCCUAUAGUCAUCCUCACGAUCAAUAAUCUUCGAGGGCUUCUUGAACCCACCAUCAUCCAUCUCAUCCCCACCGCGAGGCAUCUCUUUAAGAAGCGACUUCGGGGCAGUAUAAGAAGCAAGCUUUCGAGCAAC